CAGAACGAACGCUGGCGGCGCGUCUUAAGCAUGCAAGUCGAGCGGUAGGUAGUAGCAAUACUAUUUAGAGCGGCGGACUGGUGAGUAACGCGUGGGUGACCUACCCUAAGGUUGGGGAUAGCCGAUAGAAAUAUCGGGUAAUACCGAAUAAGCUUGCCGGACUGUGGUCUGGUAAGGAAAGGUGCGUUUGCACCGCCAUAGGAUGGGCCCGCGUCCCAUUAGCUAGUUGGUAAGGUAAAAGCCUACCAAGGCGAUGAUGGGUAGCCGGCCUGAGAGGGUGAACGGCCACAUUGGGACUGAGAUACGGCCCAAACUCCUACGGGAGGCAGCAGCUAAGAAUAUUCCGCAAUGGACGAAAGUCUGACGGAGCGACGCCGCGUGGAUGACGAAGGCCGAAAGGUUGUAAAAUCCUUUUGCUACUGAAGAAUAAUCUGGCAGGAAAUGGCCACGAGAUGACGUUAGUAG
rnacentral:rRNA from 1 species